GUGAAAAGACAUGAAGCCAUUGGUGAUUGCAAGUAUUAGCUAAUAUAAGGUGACAGAUACAUUUAAAAUGCCUUUGAAGAACAAGAAGGCAAAUCAUAAUGGAAAGUUGAGAAAAAGCAGUUACAUGAUUUUUUUUUUUCUAGUUUUCCAUUAACAUAUCUUUCCAAAAAAAAUGAUAAAAUAUGUCCAACAGCUGGCUCAAGCGAGUUACUGAACCGAUUUUGGUGAAUAAACCAAUCAAUCCAACUCUAGGAUUAGGUAUAUCUUCUCCAAUCAAGUUCUGAAGUACAUUGGAAGCCGCAGUUCCUGAAAUGAAUAGUAUCAAGAGCAAAACUUCUCGACCAUCAAGGAUGAUAAACGUCAGGAAGCUGAAGA
rnacentral:misc_RNA from 1 species